GUGAAUCAUCGAAUCUUUGAACGCAAAUUGCACUCUCGGUGGAGAGUAUGCCUGAUUGAGGGUCAGUAAUAAUAAAAUCGGGGUGUUGCUCUUUUGUGACACAACGGAGUUUGGGCUACCGUUGACUUUCGGGUUUAAGAGGCUUAAAAGUGAACUUUUUUGCGAACUUUUAGACGUACAUAAAUUUAUUUGAUGGUCUAUGCUGGUUCCAAUUAUCUAUUAGGUGCGACCAUGUUUAUAUGAUCUCGUGCCCAUAAUUCUCAUAUUUUGACCUCAAAAAAGGUAAGGACAU
rnacentral:misc_RNA from 1 species